AAAGGGAGAACAUCUUUUGCAGGAGAGUUGCUUGCUUAGUGGAUGUGCUUGCCUGUCAGAGAUUUUCAGCAUUAACUGGGAAUCAGACCAUAAUUCCUAUUAACUGAUGGAAUGGCAUCAGGAAUUGUAGCUCCAGAACCAUUUUGUCCCUGCCUGAAAAUUCCAAGAUAAUUUGCUAUAGUGGCUCUUGUUUUG